GGAAUUCGCCUUUACCGCAGGACUGGCAUUCUGUUUUGCUGACCUCUGUGCAGUCGUUCACCAGUUUCUGUCCUGGAAAACAUCCGGAAAUGAGGGCACUCCAGGCAACCCAAUGAGUCAGACACUUAAUUGAAAAGCGAGAAGCACCUGGGCCACUGCCCUCAUCCCUUGCUCCCGCAAGAUGUCCUGGAAGAAGGCCACCCCAGCUGGCAAGGAGGUGAUAACCACUCACAGAGGCUGGCAUCUAUCCACAUUGGGAAAGAGACAGGAAACCGGCUAGACCCGCCCCUUCCC